GUUACUUACACAUUUGUUCUUCCCUAAUAACAGAGUUUUACGAUCCGAAGACCUUCAUCACUCACGCGGCGUUGCUCCGUCAGGCUUUCGCCCAUUGCGGAAGAUUCCCUACUGCUGCCUCCCGUAGGAGUCUGGACCGUGUCUCAGUUCCAGUGUGGCCGAUCACCCUCUCAGGUCGGCUACGCAUCGUUGCCUUGGUAAGCCGUUACCUUACCAACUAGCUAAUGCGGCGCGGAUCCAUCUAUAAGUGACAGCAAAACCGUCUUUCACUAUUGAACCAUGCGGUUCAAUAUAUUAUCCGGUAUUAGCUCCGGUUUCCCGAAGUUAUCCCAGUCUUAUAGGUAGGUUAUCCACGUGUUACUCACCCGUCCGCCGCUAACGUCAGAGGAGCAAGCU
rnacentral:rRNA from 1 species